ACCGAGCUGACGAGUCCCAAACAGGACGAAACUCAUCAACGAU
rnacentral:hammerhead_ribozyme from 1 species